rnacentral:lncRNA from 1 species
CUCACAUAGUGGCCUUAUGACUGUAGUCAUCAAAAAUCACCUAAAAAACAAAUCUUUUAAAAGUGACUACACUUUUUUUGUUGUUGUUGCUGUCUCUGUUUUUAAAAGCUGUAGCAGGAAGAGAUAUCUACAGGGAGUAUACUGUAAUUGAAGUGUAGUUCUUUACAAAAUCUAAAAAAUUAAAAUAUAAAAAAUAAAACAAAACAAAAGCAAUGUGAAGAUACACUUACUUCCCUAACUUUGCUUCAGAUUUAAACGCUUAAGUGUGAAACUUUGCAUGGAUCUUCCUGGGCUUGGAAGAGCACUAAGCUCUUGGCCCAGGGCCUGGAAUAGAACCCUUCCUCUGCACAGACAGCACCGGUGUAGGGGGAAGAAGGAGUAAUCAUUUUCCUCUGACUGCUGGCUCAGCAUUGGUAGGCAAGACACACUCUUUCCAAUUGUGGGGGACUUGGCUGGGAUCUGGUAACUGGGAGCAAGAAGAAAGGACAGGCAGGUUUUUCCCACCCUGCAAGUGGAAAGAAUCUGUGCGCUCGGUUUCAAAUGCUAUUGGAACAGCUCUGUUCAGAAUUCUGGAUCUCAAGCUCCCCUCCAGCCUUGUCCAGGAAACCCUUGUCCUUUGCAAGGACCAAAGUGUCCAAGUAGUGCAGUGUGUGUGUGUGUGUGUACAAGCAAAUUGGAAGAGGAAGAGUUAAAUUAAAUCAUUACCUUCUGUGCAUCGGAAUUCUUUCCCAGGGCUCCCAACUCUAGUGAAGAGAAGUUAAAGGCUGUUGAAUAUCCAAGCCUCAGCCAGAGGAUCAAACAUAAUUUUAAAUCUUACUUCACACUUCUGUUUCUGUUUCAGCAGGUCCACUUUGUUAGACUCCAAAGGCCAGAAGAUGAGCAUGACUAAGGGAAGGAAGCUCUGAGAGUCAACAAUGGAUCACAAUUUCCGCUUCAAAUGUCAAAACAUACCCAUACCCUCUGCCUUUAAAUUCCUGGUUUCUCUUGUGACUCUUAAUUACAUAUGCCAUUCUCUUUUAAGGAAAACUAGGUCAAUUUGAAUCCUUUCUCAAUGUGAUUAUAAAAGGGGAAAUUCCUUGAACUACUCAGAGAAUAUUCUUUUAAUAUUUUUCUUUUGUUGUGUAAAAGAAAGCUGGAGAAUUUUCAAUAUCAGAACACCCCACCCCUGGACUGAAUCACUUCAAAACCAAAUGUUCAGCUGUUUGCAGCUCCAUCGUUAGAUUGCUUUGUUAU